GGAUGAAGAACGCAGCGAAAUGCGAUAAGUAAUGUGAAUUGCAGAAUUCAGUGAAUCAUCGAAUCUUUGAACGCACAUUGCGCCCCCUGGUAUUCCGGGGGGCAUGCCUGUUCGAGCGUCAUUUCACCACUCAAGCCUCGCUUGGUAUUGGGCAACGCGGUCCGCCGCGUGCCUCAAAUCGACCGGCUGGGUCUUCUGUCCCCUAAGCGUUGUGGAAACUAUUCGCUAAAGGGUGUUCGGGAGGCUACGCCGUAAAACAACCCCAUUUCUAAGGUUGACCUCGGAUCAGGUAGGGAUACCCGCUGAACUUAAGCAUAUCAAUAAGCGGAGGA
rnacentral:misc_RNA from 1 species